rnacentral:tRNA from 1 species
GCGGGUAUGGUUCAGUGGUAGAACUUGUCCUUCCCAAGGACAGGACACGGGUUCGAUUCCCGUUACCCGCUCCA